UACGGAGGGAGCUAGCGUUGUUCGGAAUUACUGGGCGUAAAGCGCACGUAGGCGGCUUUGUAAGUUAGAGGUGAAAGCCCGGGGCUCAACUCCGGAACUGCCUUUAAGACUGCAUCGCUUGAAUCCAGGAGAGGUGAGUGGAACUGCGAGUGUAGAGGUGAAAUUCGUAGAUAUUCGCAAGAACACCAGUGGCGAAGGCGGCUCACUGGCCCGUUACUGACGCUGAGGUGCGAAAGCGUGGGGAGCAAACAGG
rnacentral:rRNA from 1 species